rnacentral:lncRNA from 1 species
CUCCAUAUGGUUGGCAAAUAAAGAGAGACAAAGUCUUAAUGACUUUUGUUCAAGCCCAACUGCUACAGGAGAACACAAACAUUGUGUAUCAUCUUUGGAAUCAAUGAUUGAUCAUGUCAUUUCACAUUUUGGGACAACAAAGAUAAAGGCAAUUUCAAGUACCUUUGUCCAAAACCAAGACCAAUAUGUUGUUGAGGAAGUGAAAAAAGUUGGAGACAAUGCAGUGAUGUGUCAUAGAUUGAAUUUCGAAAAAGUUGUAUUCAAUUGCCACCAAGUGCAAUCAACAAUCGCUUAUGUGGUCUCAUUGGUAGCCCCUGAUGGAACUAAAGCUAAGGCUUUAACAGUUUGUCACCAUGAUACAAGAGGGAUGAACCCUGAGUUGCUUUAUGAAGCUCUUAAAGUUGAUCCUGGAACCAUCCCUAUUUGUCAUUUCAUUGGAAAUAAGGCUGCUGCAUGGGUGUCCAAUCAUUCUAAUGACCAUCUAUGUGUUAUUUAGGUGCUAACUUGUUGUGCACAUCAUUUCUCAUUCAAUAAUUUUACACUAAACAUGUGUUUGUAUGGAGAAACACGAUGUGCAAGUAUCAAAUCUCAUGUAUUUCAAAUAAAACUAGGUAGUUCUAUUCUAGUUAGAACUAUGGGUGUACUUUGGUAUGGUCGGUAGGCAACCUAGUUUCCUAUGAUCAAUACACCAGUGUACGUUUAAAAUCGAUAAUGAUAAAAAAAUGUUAUUUAAUGUAAUAUAUUGUUGAUAUUUCAUUUGUGUUUUAAAAAAGUAGAAUAUGUCUAGGGAUGUCAAUGGGUAGGAUUUGGAUUGGAUAUUAUAGUACUCGUUCCCUUAUCCGCAUUUUAUAAAAAUAUUCAUACUCGUGCUCGUGUAUCAACUUUAAUAUGUGUACCCUUACCCUUUGGGUACCUUAUUCGUCCAUAUACCUAUUAUACACACUUUAACUAAAAUAAAUCGAUAAAUAAGUGAUAUUGUUGUGAUUAAUUAUUUAAAAAUUAUUCAAAUAUCUUAAAUCUAAUCAUGAUGCUUAGUUUGUUUGUCAUCAUAGUGUCAAGUUGUUUUUUUUCUCGUUUAAGUGCGGUGUUUACAUAGGCAACAAACUUGUUUGUUUUUCCGUCUAAGUGUGGUGUAUACAAAGACAACAAACUUGUUAUGUUGGUACCAUACUCACUCGUUCUUAUAUAUGAUGAUUUGUCAACACGUGAUUGGAUUGGUCAUUUCAAAGAUCAUCCUAUAAUCAAUAAGAGCGAACACCAACAAUAUAUUUUUCCGAAGAUGGAUUGAAUUAAAACUAUAGAUCUUGUCUUAUUCUUGACUAUUGUCCAGGAAGAAAUUAGUUUGAUUACUUGAAUUAAAAUUUUGGCUUGAUCAUCUUUCAUUGAUUUAUAAAAUCUUUAUAUGUAUUGUUGGCAUGUUUUGUGUUUUUUUAAUUAGUUUUGAUCUCAAAAUAUAGAAGGGGAAUAUUUCAUAUCAUGAUGAAUUUGCUUGUAAUUUUCUUAUUUACAUUUGAAUAAAGCUUAAAACAAAUACAAACAUGCAAUAUAUUUCUAAUAUGGUGAAAAAAUAAGCAAAGAUAGUCACACAACUAGAGAUGACAACACAACUUGUAUUUGCGACUAUCCACUUGAAAUUUUUUCGAUUUGGACAGAGAAAACUCACUUUGAUUGGUUGCGGGUGUAGAUUUUCUCCGGAAUUAAAACUCGGGCGAAGACAGGUUUGGAGUAUUCAUAUCCACCCCGCCUUUGUUCUCAAACUCAUUUUGUUAGUACUAUUAUUGUCAAUUUUAAAUUUUAUAUACAUGUAUUUAUUCAAUAUAUUUAAUAUUUUUUUAAUAUUAAAAAUUAUAAUCUUCUCUCUAGAAAAUAUAAUUUUAAUAUUUUUUAAUUUUAUUAUAUUAAAUAUAAUAAAUAUGACUUUUAAAGUUAUUAUUUUAUGUAUAUGAAUGGGUGUAGAUGUGGUUGGGACCGAACCCCGUCAUAGAUAUAAAUAGAGAAUUAAAUUUUACACCUGAUAACAAACAAGGACGGUGGCGGGUUUUCUCGGGUGCGGGAUGGAGGAGGCGAAACCUGCAUCUGCCCCUAUUACUAUGCCUAAUGAAAACCACGUAAUAAUGAGUUCGUUUGUUUAAGAUUUUUAAAAAGUGAUUUUGACUUUAUAUUGGAAAUUUUUUUUAAGAUAACUUAUUGAAAAAUAUUAUAAGUUGCUUUAGUCUAAUUUGUUAUUGAUUAAAAAAUUAAUUUUGGCAUUCUAUAACUGAGAUAUUUAUUAUUAAAUAUUUUAACAUGAUAAUUUUAACAAAAAAUAUCUAUAAAAAAUGAUUUUUAUGAACAAAAUAAAUUUUAAUUUUAAUUUCUUUUUGAAAUUUCAUUAUCCAAAAAAAUUGUAGCAAAGAGAUAGAAUACUUAAAAUAAUAUUUUAAAAUAAACUAUGUAAAUCAAUUUUUCAUGUAAAAUUUUAUUUUUGAAAUUCUUUUUUAGAAAUUUUAUAACAAAAAGUAAGAUUAUUAUAAAAAUCUUGGACUAUCCCUAUGACUAUGGGAGUUGGAAGCUCUUAUUAAAAUUCUAAUCUAAAUGAAAAACAACCUUGCCCUUUUUUCCUAUAUACUAUAUUACACUCUAACCCUUGUUAUUCUACAAAACUUAAUUAUAGUUUUAUUAAAUUAAAAAAAAAUGUAAGUAGUUAUAAUUUUUUAAUUAAUAAUUUUUCCACUUUGCUAAUUUUUUUAAAAAAAAUUAACUAAAAUUUGAACUAGAUAAAGUAUAGAAGAAGGAAGAAAGAAUAGAGCAUAGAAUAUUAUAAUAUUUGCAUUAUAUUCUUCGAGGUGUAUUUCUAUAAAGUCACAUGAGUUCUAUUGAUAAUAGGAGAUAAAUCUUGUAACUUAUAAGUAUAUUAAGAGUCUAUUUUUAGAUGCACUAACAAUUAAAGCGAAGAACAAUAACAAUUGAGUGAAUGACUUUAAUUUAACUAUGGAGUUAUAUGAUGUAGGAAUAUAAACAUCCACUAAAUACUUUAAUUAUUCACUACACUCCCCCAUAUGAAAACCUUACUAAAAAAACUAGUGGUAAAAAAUUCUUGUGAAGAAAAAAAUUUACAACAUUUUUGUGGGAACUGUCUCAUUAAAAAUACUUUAAGAAAAACUCAAAAGGGAUAAAAUUUCGGUGAAGGAAAAAAUAGUGCAUUAUAUAUUUAUUUAUUUAUCAUUUCUAUGUAGAUAACAAUUUGUUAAACAAUAAAGAUCAAUCAAUUGUAGUAGUUGUUGAAAAAUUUCUUCGGAUGACUUCAUUGAUUUUUGUAUUAUCAAUUGGUUGAACAUUAAGACCAAAAACUAUUAUGCUAUAAUAUCUCUUGUUCUAUCUCCUAUAAUGAAUCAUUCUCAACUAAGGUGUGGAUGCAAUAUUAUUCUCAUAAAUAACUACUAUAGUUAUUGUUAUGAAACUUAAAUCAUAAUUCAUUUGCCUAUGUUGAAUCAUGACAGAUUUAAGUCAAAAACACCUUCUCGACUUUCCUAUGUGUAGUUCUAAGUAUAUAUUUCACUAUAUUUCAAUGCAGUUGUCUAUAUAUAUAAAGGACUACAUUUGUCUAAUAGAUAGAUUAACAACAAAGUAUAUUUUAAUGUGUAUUUUUAGAAAGGUAAAUAAGUAUAAUACAUAUAUAUAUAUAUAUAAUAUUUGGACCGUUCGAAAAAUAUAUUUGUUCCCAAUUGGUGAUCUUAAAACCAUCAAAAUAAACAAUUGAUUUGUUUUGUAUAUAUAGAACCAUUUUAGCACAUUUAUUUUUUAAGCUUCAAGAUUCAUAGAAACUUCAAAUGUUUUAAAAGCUCUUCUUAAGUUUAGAUAAGAUUUAUAUCAUUACCAUAAAUAAUAAUUAUAAUAUUUUUUUUUUUAAAUGGGAGAAGGAUAAAUUAUUAUUAAAUUAACACUAAUGACUAUUUUACGAUUGUUCCAAAUGAUAUUUGAAUUAUAUCUCUUUUGAUUACAAUAUUAAAUUCAUAUUGUUGAGCUACCACCUUAUGAACAUAAUUGUAGCAAAGUCAUUGUACAUAUUUCUAGUAGUGUUAAGUAAUCUAUGUUGCAAUUACAUUUACUAAACAAGAUGCGCUCAAUAUAAAGAUUAAAACUAUAAUUAUAUUUUAGUAUGGAAGUCAAACAAUGAAUGAACAUGCAUAUAAAUUAGGAUCUUCCACAUAUUUGAUUUAUCAAAGAUAUUUUUGAUGAAUUCAUUUAUUGUGGUCUCUCGGUAGUAGUCUUGACACACAUAGAAAAUAAAGACGGAUGACAAACACAAGUCACUUGUUACACACUCAUAUUUGAGUAGAACCCAUAUUAAUUAAUUUAUUUAGUUAGUAAUUCGAAUUAAUUUAAUUUAUUUAUGGCUUAAGUAUAUGUCUAGUCCAUGUAAUUUAAUGGUUUUUUUUGUCCCUAUAAUUUUUUUUGUUUCAAAUUUAGUCACAUAAGUUCAAUUUUGUUUUAAAAUCGUCUUUGUUGUUAGUGACUGUUAAAAAAAGCAGACAUGACAAAUAGAGAAUGGGUGGAAAAAAAAAGUGCAAUCUUACAAGAACAAAAAUAAAAAUUUAAAAAAAAAACACGAAUUUACAAGGACUAAACAUAUAUACUUUGAUUUGAUUUUUGACUCUGCAAGUUCACGCUUUUUUAUUUUCAUUUCUUCUCUGUUUUCCAUGUCAGCUUUUUUCAACAAUAACUAACAAUAUAGACGGUUUUAAAACAAAAUUGAACUUACAAAUUUAAAUUUGAAACAAACAAAAAAUUACAAGAAUGAAAACAAAAAAAAAACGCUAAUUUACAGAAACCUUAAAUUUUUUAAGCUUAAUUUAAUUAUUUAAUUUGAUCGCUAGUCAACUAAUACUCUUAAUAAAUAAAUAAAUAAUAUAAUUAAUAUAAGAUAUUUGUCUACAUAAUAUAAUUAGAAUAUAAUUAAAUAGUAAAAUAUUUCUAAACAUCUGUUCUAGUUGGAAAAUUGACACUAAAUUUUUGUUGGUUGCCUUCUAAAAAUCUAUCAUGCCUCAUCAUUGUACUAAGAAAAAUAAAUUAAGCUUUGUUAAUACCUUUACUCAAGGAGAAUCAACAUUAAAUAUUGGUACCACAAGUUUUGGAGAUUCUAUGUAUCUAUCCUGCAUGGACGCCAUGUCAUGGAAACAACAAUGGUACUACAAACCUUGGAGUGGGAUGCAUGGACGACAUUUGCACAAGUUCUGUUACCCACUUGUAGGAAUCAAAAUGAAUGAACAAAAUGGUUUAAGACAAGCUUUUCAUGUGAACUUACUAUAUAUAAUGGGCACCUUGUAACAUUUAUACACACACUCAAGUAAACUUAUAUAUAGUCAUCACUUCUUCAUAACCAACCAAUGGAGUUUUCACGUCUCUCUAUUUUAGCUCUAUUUUGUGUAAGCUAACUUAUUUUCUACUUCAAGAAUUAAAAGAUCCAUACAAAGUUUUCAUUAGGAAUUAUCAUUAAGGAAUAAGGAGGGACACUUUUUUUAAACAAUACUAAUAUAUGUAAUUUGAAUAUUUUUUAUUACAGUUGACUUUUGUGGGAAUUGACGCAUCACCAUUGUCUGCCGAAGAUUAUUGGAAAUCUGUUUGGCCAAAUGCUCCUCUUCCAAAGGCUUUCUUUGAUCUAUUGUUACCUUGUUAGUAGUAGUAUUAUAUAUAUAUUUGUUAGNNNNNNNNNNNNNNNNNNNNNNNNNNNNNNNNNNNNNNNNNNNNNNNNNNNNNNNNNNNNNNNNNNNNNNNNNNNNNNNNNNNNNNNNNNNNNNNNNNNNNNNNNNNNNNNNNNNNNNNNNNNNNNNNNNNNNNNNNNNNNNNNNNNNNNNNNNNNNNNNNNNNNNNNNNNNNNNNNNNNNNNNNNNNNNNNNNNNNNNNNNNNNNNNNNNNNNNNNNNNNNNNNNNNNNNNNNNNNNNNNNNNNNNNNNNNNNNNNNNNNNNNNGAAUUUACAUUAUGACGAUAGUUGUAUGUAUUUCUUCUAAUUUAUUUUUUAUUCUUUUAAACCCAAUGGUUCCUACGGCUCCUACUCAAUAAAUCAAUUGUAGGAGAUCCAAUUUUUGUUGAUAGAGCUAUAAAUCAAUUGUAGGAGAUCCAAUUUUUGUUGAUAGAGCUAUAAAUCAAUUGCUCAUUAUAUUUUUGUUAUUUUUUCAUAUAUGAAUUAGUGUCUCAUAACAAGAUUUUUAAGACUCAUUUUUAUCUAUUAUUGUGGCAGAUGGAAAAACCAAUAGUCUACCCAUAAAAGUUGAAGAAAUGAAUCAAUACUCGACACUCUUUUUUGAGCAUGAUCUCUAUCCUGGAAAAAAAAUUACCUUGGGUAAAAGUCAAUCUUUGGGAAAGAUGGUACGACCAUUCACAAAACCAACACAAGGUAUCACAGACUCCAUAUGGUUGGCAAAUAAAAAGAGACAAAGUCUUAAUGACUUUUGUGCGAGUCCAACGGCUACAGGAGAACAUAAACAUUGUGUGUCAUCCUUGGAAUCAAUGGUUGAUCAUGUCAUUUCACAUUUUGGGACGACAAAGAUUAAGGCAAUUUCAAGUACUUUUACCCAAAAUCAAGAUGAAUAUGUUGUUGAGGAAGUGAAAAGAGUUGGAGACAAUGCAGUGAUGUGUCAUAGAUUGAAUUUCGAAAAAGUUGUAUUCAAUUGCCACCAAGUGCAAGAAACAACCGCUUACGUAGUCUCAUUGGUAUCCCCUGAUGGAACUAAAGUUAAUGCUUUAACAGUUUGUCACCAUGAUACAAGAGGUAUGAAUCCUGAAUUGCUUUAUGAAGCUCUCAAAGUUGACCCUGGAACUGUCCCUGUUUGCCAUUUCAUCGGCAAUAAGGCUGCUGCUUGGGUACCUAACUUUUCUGAUGACCAUCUUUGUGUCAUCUAGAUGCUAACUUCUUGUGCACAUCAUCUCCCUUUCAAUAACAUCAUGUUCAAACUGGCUUUGUUUUAUUAAAUUUAUGUAUGUAUGUAUGGAGAAUGUGAUGUGCAAGUAUGGGAUUUCAUGUAUUUCAAAUAAAACUACUUCUAUUUUGAAUAUGUGUAUAUUUGCAUGUGUUGGGAGUUUGAUAUCCUCUACUCAGUACCUUGAUGUAUGUUGAACUUGAUAAUAAUGAGAAAAAAAGAGUUGUGUUUGAUAUACCUUGUUGACUGUAGACUUUUUAGACUUUGGAUAGAAAAAUUUCUUCCUUGUUAAAAUUAAAAUUACAAUUGACCAUAAAUCUAUAAGUUUUUCCUUUUCUAUACUACAUUCAAAAGAAGGAAUUGUAUUAAAUCAUAUAUUCAAAAUUUAUUCUCAAAGUAACUAAAAUCACCAAAACACUCGCAGCAUAUAAUAUCAACUCAAUUUUAGUUACAUGUGAUGAAGAGAUUCGUAAAUUAUCUUUUAUAGUUUUGAAUAUAAGUAAAAACUAGAUGUUAAUCUCUGCAAUUUAAGUGGAUCUUUAAAAAAAUCAAUAUGAAAUUUUAUGUCUCAAUUGUCAAAUGAUUAUUGAUAUAGUAGUUAUAUCAAUAAUAUGCAUUUAAUUUUAUAUAUAAAAUUUAUAGAAGAGAAGUAUCAUUGUCACGGAUGUUGUUAGCAAACACACCCAACAAUAAGGUAAGCAAAAAAGAUAUAUGUACUAUCAAUUAAGAAGAAGUGAAGAAACUUCUCAUGUUAUUACGCUCAAUAUUGCAUAUUCUGAAAAAAUGUAUACAAUUGCUAUCAAAUAAGUAAUGGCAGAUAGAGGCGAAAAUAAAACAUAUUGACUAGUAACGUGAAAUUAAUGUGAAAGAUGUUUAGCAAACGUUAUGAAAUAAUAAUGUGAUGUUAUGAAAUAAUAAUGUGAUGUUAUGAAAUAACAAUGUGGGAUUAAUUUAGAAAACUUUGAGUAGACGUUAUAAAAUGAUUAUCUUUAUGAAGACAUACAGUUUUUUGGUUGAUGUGAGAAAUAUUUAUAUAAAGAAAAUAGUACGAGGUAGAUAGAUAAUAAAAUUUAUGAUAAUUACGAAAGUCAAGUAAUUUCAUUUAAUUUUUUGAAUACCAUAAAAAAGGGGGGAGGGCCCUGCCAUAGUUUUUAAAAGUAAUCGCAAAUAACGAUUUAUUGUUUAUUAUUUGUUCACAUUGUUCAAAAAACAUACUAAAACUUUAAUUUCAACUUGUUUUGGCGUAUUCAUAUAGUAUAACAUAGCAGUACUAUAUCAUUUAUUAAUUAAUUUAUUUCCUUUGUAGAAGAUUCAAUUUCAGAAAAAUAAAUUUGGCACAUAUUUUAUAUUAGAUGUUUCAUAUUUUAUUUGAUAAAUAUGAAUAAUUAUUGGAAAUGGUUAAUUAUUAUUAUUUCUUUUUUGUAUUUUUUAUUUUAAAAUUAUUAAUAAUUCAACGGUAAUUAAGAUUUUAAAAAUUAUUUUUUAUUUUUUGUCAAAAAAAUUAUAAAAAUUGAAACAAUACUAUUUAAUUUAUCAUAUGAAUUAGUAGAUUUCAAGUAAAAUUUUAAUAUUUCAAUUAUUUUUUAAAAAAACUUUUUUUUCUAUAAAAUGCAAAAACUGAAUGAAUAAUUAAUAUCAUUUUAUAGACUUAAAUAUAAUUUUAGCUAUUUAUCUUUACCUAAUAAUAAUUUUAUUUUUUUAUCUUUUUUUAUUCAUUUUGGUUCUUUAUUAUCUUUUGUAAGCGGUGUAAUUUAGUCUUUUUCAUCAUAAUUAUUUUAAACAACUAUAUAAUUAUUGUAAAGUUAAGUAUGCAAUUUAAUAAGGAUGGGUGAAAUCUAAGAAACUAUGAUAAACGUCAUUCGUUUCAAAGAGUUCAUAUAUAUUUUAAAGCAUGUAAGAAUUUUUUUUUUUCUAAUGCAAACCUAUUAUUGAGUUAAAUGCAUAUUUUUUUGAAAGAAUACAUUAUACUGAAUACAUAUUGACAAUUGUUAGAAGGGAUUUCAAUUAUCAAAUGUUGUUAUAACUUUUGUUGUCUUUGUGACAAAAACUGAAAUACACCACUUAUAAAAGAUAAAGUACCAAAAUAUUAAAAUAAAUAUAAAGGACCAAAUCAAACAAAAAAAUAAAUAUAUAAAUAACCAAAAUGAAUAUUAAAGAAAAGAUAAAUGACUAAAAUUAUAUUUAAGGCUAUUUUAUAAGAUGUGCAUGCAUUAAAAAAAUAACUAAAUGCUUUCAACUAACUCAAUAGUAUAUAAUUUGAUGUUAAUUCAACUGCACAAACAUAUCUAAUAACUUCUAAUUCUUCAAACAAAAUUUUACCAUUAGGAAAAUGGUCACAUUUUCCCAAGUUUUAAGAUGUUUACAUCAUAUUUUAAUUUAGGUUAUUAUUAAAUAAUAAUUUAACCCUUAAUACUAGACAAAAUUAAAAAUAUUCUCAGAUAUAUAUACAGCUCAAAUCUUCUAUUAAGCUCAAAUCUUCUAUUAAGUGGAUAAUUGUUAAGUUUUUAUUUGAAUGUAACUUUAAUUAUAUAUUUUUUAUAUCUUAAUAUUUAUAUAUCCUAAUUAAUAUUAUUGAAGUAAAAAAAGUUUUGGGUAUCCCUAAAAAAUUAAUGUCUUAAGCAGUCAUUUAUCUCAACUAUACCCUCAAGAAUACCACUGCCUAACGGACGGGUAUUUUUCACCAAUAUUUUGUAUGGUUGAAUACUAGACAAUGUAGUAAAGACUAGUGGACUAAGGAUACUAGUGUCAUGAACCACUUUGGUUUGGUCUUUUGUCACUAAAAAUACCAGAUGUAUUUUGAAUAACCUCUUUUUAAAUUUUUUUUACUUAAAUACUCACUUUUGAAAAGUAUUAACUAAAAUGUCUUUUUUUUAUACCUUAUAAGUCCCCAUUUAUAAAAGUAAUUUUUCCGUUGCAAUGGCGACUUCCUUAAAUAAUUUAAAAAAAAAAUUAAUUUAUAUAUAUAUAUAUAUAUAAUUCAUAAAAAUACAUAAACACAAAUUUUAAAUUACAUAGAUUCACUAGAGUUGUCUAUAACAUUUUAAAUUACCUAAUUUAUUCAUAAAAACAUCACAAAUUUUACAAAAAUUACGAUAAAAUUAAUGUCGAAAAUGACCUCCAGUAUCAUAUUGCCUAUGUUUUCUCACAGUACAUAUGUACCAAGGCGUCGUCAAAAUCUCGUUCGUGUGAGAAAAUAUUGGCAAUGUGGUACUGGAGAUUACCUUCGACAUUAAUUUUAUCGUGAUUUUUGUAAAAUUUAUGAUGUUAUUUAUGAAUAAAUUAUAUAAUUUAAAUUUUGUGUUUAUGUAUUUUUAUGAAUUAUAUAUAUAUAUAUAUAUUGUUAAUUUAAUUUUUUUUUUUUGAAAAUUGCUUAAAGAAAUCGUCAUUGCAAAUUCGGACUUCCUUAAAGAAGUCGCCUUUGCAAAUAGAGACUUGUAAGAUAUAAAAAUAAAAAUAAAAAAAAUAAAAAAGAACAUUUUGAUUAAUAGUUUUCAAAAGCGGGUUAACUAAAUAAAAAAUUUAAAAGAGGUUAUUAAAAUAAAAAUAAAAAAAAACCUAUAUCAGAGCACUAGUAAGGAAAAAUAUACACAAAUUAUAUAUUACUUUGAAAAUGUUCAUUGUAUAAUGUAACAUUUUUAUUUAUAUAUUUAUAAAAAAAAUCAUAUGUUGUUCUUUUGUUUUUAGCAAAGGCCAGUUAAUUUAAAUAGGUUUGUUUGUUUCAAUAUUUUAUUUAUUUUAAUUUAAAUUUUUUAUUGGAUUGUUUGUGUAUAAAUUUUAUUAUUGAUUUUUUUUUUCAGAUGUAAUUAUUAUAUUUUAAUAUAUUUUGUGGUUAUUUAUGGUUGCUAUAUUUUAAUUAUUAAAAUAUAGUUAAAAUAUUGUGAUGUAUUUAUAUACAAUAAAUUUAAAAAGUAAUUGAUAAUUAAAUCAAAUUUGUAAUGAAAGCUAUAUUUUUUUAUUGUUAGUUUUUAAUCAUAGUUACAUAGAACAAAGAAGUAGUAGAAUGAUAAAUAAAGAAGAAAUGAAUUCUAGAGAUAUAACAUGUCGUCUUAUCGAAGGACUUAGGAUAAUUAGUAUUACAUGACAUAUAAGGAUGUAUUUGUGAAUAAUAUAAUUAUUUGAGGAUUUAUUUUAAUAUAUUAUUGUAUAUUGUAUAUUUUAUAUUGAUCCUAAUCUCAAUGAAGAAAAAAAAAACUUAUCGUUUUUUCUAUAUACUAUAUUACACUCUAAUCCGUAUUGUUCCACAAACCUUGAUUAUAGUUUUGUUAACUUAUAAAAAAAUUGCUAAAUUUAAAAAAUAUGAAUUAACUAAAACUAGAGCUAAAUAGAAGAAUGAAAGGAAGGAAGAAAAAAUAUACUAGAGAGAGAAUAAGAGAGUAUUUGCAUUAUGUUCUUCAAGGUGUAUUUCUAUAAAGGCACGUUAGUCCUAUUUAUAGGUAAUAAAUCUUAUAACUUAUAAGUAUAAUAGGAGUCUACUUUUAACUAUGGAGUUAUACGAUAUAGAAAGAUGAACAUUCUUUAAAUACUCUAAUUAUUUACAAUACUCCCCCUAAUGAAAAUUUUAUUAAACAAACUCUGUCACGAAAACGGCUAAAACUGUAUUUAUGUAAAAACUGACUCAUUAAAAAAAAUUCAAGAAAAACUGAAGAAAAAAAAUCAAAUUUUAAGAAAAAAGAAUGUAUUAUUUAUUUAUUUAUCCCCCACACAAUAACCUCUAAAACAAGGAAGAUCAAAUUUUCGUAAAAGUUGUUGAAAAAUUUACUAAGUGGUGACUUUGUACAAAUAUGUAUCAUCAAUUAGUUGAAGAUUACAACCAAAAAAUAUUUUACUAAAAUACAUUUUAUUCUAUCUCCUUUAACAAAUCAUUCUCCACUAAGGUGUGCAUGCAAUGUUAUCCUCGUAAAUAAUUAAUGUAGUUAUUUUUCUAGAACUCAAAUCAUUAUUCAUUUGCAUGUGUUGAAUCAUGAUAGAUCUAACUCAAAAUACCUUCUCAACUUACCUCAUGUAAUACUAAAAUUUCUACAUCUAUAAGAUAACCAAGUAUAUAUUUCACCAUAUUCUAAUGUCGUUGUGUAUAUAUAUAAAGGACUACAUUUGUUUAAUAGAUAGUUUGAUGCAAAUGAUAUUUCACAAUAUAAUUAGAAAGAUACAUAACUAUCUAAUUGCACUAAUAUAUGAAAUUUUAUGAUCAAAUAGUUGAUAUUCAGUCAUUUUCUCUAGCUUAAAAAAUAUAUUUGUUCACAAUUGAUGAUCUUACAACCAUCAAAAUGCACAAUUGAUGUGAUUUGUCUAUAUUGAACCAUUUUAGCACAUUUUCUAGUUAAGCUUCAAGAUUCAAAGAAAAAUUAUUCUUUAAAUACUCAAUUUGUAACCUCAAGCAAAUUUAUAUCCUUCUUAUGUAUUCCAUUUCAAACGUUUUCUCUAAAAAAUCAGAUUUUAGAAGCUCUUCCUAAGUUCAAAUAAUAUUUAAAUCAUCAACAUAAACAAUAAAUAUAGCACACUUUUUAAAAAAAUGAGGGAAGGAGAAAGUAUUAUUAAAAUGACACAAAUUAUCAUUUUACAAUUGUCCCAAAAGAUAUUUGAAAUAUGUAUUUUAAGGUUAUAAUUUUAAACUCUUACAGUUGAGCUAACACUUUAUGGACAUACUUAUAGCAAGUUCAUUUCUACAUAUUUUCAAAUAAAUACAAAGAUAAAUAUGAUAUUUCAUAUCAUUCAUUUAAGAGAUAUUCAAUGAGACAAUUAUACUACAUGUAAACGCAUGUAUUAAUCUAUAAAAUGACUUAUUCAAUAUAAUAUUGAGUAAUCUAUGUUGAAAUUAAACUUACUAAUUAAUCAAUACAAAAGAUGCUCAAUAUAAAGAUUAAAACUAUAAUCAUACUCUAGUGCAGAAGUCAAAUAACAUUUGAACAUGCAUUUAAUUAAAAUCUAUCAUAUAUUUAAUUUAUCAAAAAUAUUAAUACCAAGAUUAUGAAUGCAUUGAUUGUAGCAUGUCAAUAGUAUGCCUUAGACGCUUUUCAAAUGGGGAUAAUAGGCUGUGUGCGGUGUGUCCGAUAUAUCGGAAAUCGUGGAUCAACGAGGAACAUCCACUCAUAUUUGAGUCGGACACAUAUCACUUUAUUAAUUUAAUUAAUUAUCCAAAUAAAAAUUUAUUGAAUUUAAUUUAUAUAUAUUGUUUGUAUAAUUAUGUGAAUUGAGUUUUUACAUUGUCGGUAAAUGAAAAACGUUACAUCAUUAAAGAUUAAAGAUGUUUGACUUUUAUAAUUAUCUAUAAUGUCAUGUUCAUAAAUGAUUGUAAUGAUUGUCGAUGUAAGACUUUUUAUAUAAACUCAAAUCUAAUUAACCUUAUUACUUAAUUUGACCACUAAUCAAUUAAUCAUCCUAAUUAAUAAAUAACUAAUAUAAUUAAUAUAAGAUACAGGGCCUCAUAAUAUUGAAAUAUAAUUAAAUAAUAAAUUGUUCUAACAUCUCUUCUAGUUGGAAAUUGACACUAAAUUAUUGUUGGUUGCAUUCUAACAAUAUAUCAUGCCUCAUUUGUUGUACUAAAAAAAGUAAAUUAAGUUUUGCUAAUAUAUAUAUCUCUAAUAUUUAGAGAAUCAACGUAAAUGGUACCACAAGCUUUGGAGAUUCUAUUGUAACUAUGCUGCAUGGAUGCCAUGUGCACAACAGGUUUAAUAACUCUUAAAGACAAGAAUAGUACCACACAAACUUUGUGGUGCAUGGAAGCCAUUUGGACAAAGUAAAACAAGGUAGUUUUGAUACCCUUUUGGAGACAACCAUAAAGUUUGGAGUGUGAUGCAUGAAUGACAUGUGCACAAGCUUUCUUAACCACUUGGAGGAAUUGAUUUCAAUGUAUGACAAGAAUAGUACCACACAAACUUUGUGGUGCAUGGAAGCCAUUUGGACAAAGUAAAACAAGGUAGUUUUGAUACCCUUUUGGAGACAACCAUAAAGUUUGGAGUGUGAUGCAUGAAUGACAUGUGCACAAGCUUUCUUAACCACUUGGAGGAAUUGAUUUCAAUGUAUAACAAUGGCAUACGACAAGCUUUGCAUGCAAAUGUAACUAAAUAGUUGCAUGUGAAAUUACUAUAUAUAUGACUACCUUGUAACAUUCAUACACACACCCAACAAAUUAGUUUUUAUAGAGUCAUCACUUCUUCGUAGUCAAUUAAUUAAUGGAGUUUGCACGUAUCUCUGUUUUAGUUCUGUUUUGUGUAAGCUAACUUAUUUUUUUACUUUAGAAUCUUUUAAUUUGCAAUUUCAAUUAAUCUCAUUGUUAUUUACUUUAAGAAUUAAUGCAAGCAUAAAAAGUUUUCAAUAAAAAUUGAAGAGAUGAACACUUUUUUUAAACAAUACUAAUAUGUGAUGGGAACAUUUUUUUGUAGUUGGCUUUUGUGGAAAUUGGUGCAUCACCAGCUGAAGAUUAUUGGCGAUCUAUUUGGCCAAACACUCCUCUGCCUAAAGCUUUCUUUGAUUUGUUGUUGCCUUGUUAGUAAUAUAUAUUAAUAUAUAUGUGUGUGUCAUGUGUGUUGUCUGCAUGAAUGAAUAAUUUUUACUUUAAAUCAUAAUGGUUAAACCAAUGAUUACAUGUUCAUGUUUAAGUUGAAAAUGUUUAUAAAAAUAAAGGACCUAUGUGGGAAAAGUAGAGAUAAAGCUGUAAAUGUUUAUAAAGAUAAAUGAUAUGUGUGGGAAAAAAAAUAAAAAAGGUGGAUAUUUUACUACUAAAUAAGAUAAAGGAUUUUAGAUGUAAUUAUACCUUAAUUUUAAUUUUUUUUGCAAUAGGUGUAUAGAAUUAGAUAUUGGUUUAUUAUGUGUAUUUCUUCAAAUUUAAUGUAAGGAUCCUCUGCAUUUGUUUUAUGGUACAUCAUAUAUAAGUAUAGUAGAUUUAGAGAGAAAAAUAUCAUCUCUCUAAAUUCAACUAAGCUACUACACUAUAUAGUUUUAUAGUUGGUCAAGGGAUCUAAUUUGUAUAUCGAGAGCUCUAUAACUCAAUUGCUCGUAAUAUGAAUGUUAUCAUUUCAUGUGUAAAUUAGUGCCUCAUAACAAGACUUAGGAUCCAUUGUUUGAUUAAUAUGCAGAUGGAAGAAGCAAUAGUCUACCCAUUAGUGCCAAAGAAAUGAAUCAAUAUUCGACACUCUUUUUCGAACAUGACCUCUAUCCUGGAAAGAAAAUUUCUUUAGGUAACAUUCAAUCUUUGGGAAAGACCGUACGACCAUUCAUAAAACCAACACAAGGUGUCACAGACUCCAUAUGGUUGGCAAAUAAAGAGAGACAAAGUCUCGAGGACUUUUGUGAAAGCCCAACUGCUAUAGGAGAACACAAACAUUGUGUAUCAUCUUUAGAAUCGAUGAUUGAUCAUGUCAUUUCACAUUUUGGGACGACAAAGAUUAAGGCGAUUUCAAGUAC